rnacentral:rRNA from 1 species
GAUUAGAUACCCCACUAUGCCCAGCUGUAAAUAUUAACUCACACCAUAACCCGCCAGGGAAUUACGAGCCCAAGCUUAAAACCCAAAGGACUUGACGGUGCCCCACCCACCUAGAGGAGCCUGUUCUAUAAUCGAUUUUCCCCGAUAUACCUCACCACUUCUAGCCCAUCAGCCUGUAUACCUCCGUCGUAAGCUUACCAUAUGAACGCUAACUAGUGAGCUAAAAGACUUACCGUCAACACGUCAGGUCAAGGUGCAGCCCACGAAAUGGCAAGCAAUGGGCUACAGUCUCUAAUUUAGAACAAACGAAAGACUACAUGAAACCUAGUCACGAAGGCGGAUUUAGUAGUAAAAAGAAAAUAGAGAGUUCUUUUUAAUCUGGCACUGGGACGCGUACACACCGCCCGUCACCCUCUUCAAACGUAAUCACUAUGUUAAUAACACGAAAUAACAUCACAGAAGAGGUAAGUCGUAACAUGGUAAGCGUACUGGAAAGUGCGCUUGGAUAA